rnacentral:rRNA from 1 species
GAUAAACGCUGGCGGCGCACAUAAGACAUGCAAGUCGAACGGACUUAACCAUUAGUUUACUAUUGGAGCGGUUAGUGGCGGACUGGUGAGUAACACGUAAGCAAUCUACCUAUUAGAGGGGAAUAACAAUGAGAAAUCACUGCUAAUACCGCAUAAGCUGUGAGUAUCGCAUGAUAUAAGCAGAAAAGGAGCAAUCCGCUGAUAGAUGAGCUUGCGUCUGAUUAGUUAGUUGGUAAGGUAACGGCCUACCAAGACGAUGAUCAGUAGCCGGACUGAGAGGUUGAACGGCCACAUUGGGACUGAGAUACGGCCCAG